rnacentral:rRNA from 1 species
AAUCAACGCUGGCGGCGCGCCUAACACAUGCAAGUCGAACGAGAAAGUGGAGCAAUCCAUGAGUAAAGUGGCGUACGGGUGAGUAACACGUGGAUAAUCUGCCCUUUAGUGGGGAAUACCGCUGGGAAACCGGCGACAAUACCGCAUAAGCUCGAGAGAGGAAAGCAGCAAUGCGCUGAAGGAGGAGUCCGCGGUCGAUUAGCUAGUUGGUGAGGUAAUGGCUCACCAAGGCUGUGAUCGAUAGCCGGCCUGAGAGGGCACACGGCCACACUGGCACUGAAACACGGGCCAGACUCCUACGGGAGGCAGCAGUGGGGAAUCUUGCACAAUGGGGGAAACCCUGAUGCAGCGACGCCGCGUGAGCGAUGAAGCCCUCGGGUGUAAAGCUCUUUCGGUCAGGGAAGAUUAUGACGGUACCUGCAGAAGCAGCUGCGGCUAAC